CGGGGCGUAGCGCAGCCUGGUAGCGCAUCUGCUUUGGGAGCAGGGGGUCGGAGGUUCGAAUCCUCUCGCCCCGACCA
rnacentral:tRNA from 1 species